GACGAACGCUGGCGGCGUGCCUAAUACAUGCAAGUAGAACGCUGAAGGAAGGAGCUUGCUCUUUCUGGAUGAGUUGCGAACGGGUGAGUAACGCGUAGGUAACCUGCCUGGUAGCGGGGGAUAACUAUUGGAAACGAUAGCUAAUACCGCAUAAAAUUGAUUAUUGCAUGAUAGUCAAUUAAAAGGUGCAACUGCACCACUACCAGAUGGACCUGCGUUGUAUUAGCUAGUUGGUGGGGUAACGGCUCACCAAGGCGACGAUACAUAGCCGACCGGAGAGGGGGAGCGGCCACAGUGGGAAUGAGACACGGGCCAGAGUAGUAAGGGAGGAAGAAGUAGGGAAGAUUACGAAAUGGGCGAAAGACGGAAGGAGAAAUGGGGGGGGAGUGAGGAAGGUCUUAGGAUCGUAAAAAUAUGUUAUGAGGGAAGAAAAAAUGUGUAAGUAAAUAUGCACGGCUUGACGGAACCUAAUCAGAAAGCCACGGCUAACUACGUG
rnacentral:rRNA from 1 species